CGCCCCGAACUUUGUGACUGACGCAAAGAGUAACAGAACACGAUCACUUGGACGUCUCUCCCCUCUCCGUCCUCGGAACUGGUAUAGGGAGGGAGAAGACGAGGAGUGGGAGGGAAAUCGCAAGAUGGUGCUGUGGGUGUUCGGGUAUGGGUCUCUGAUAUGGAAGGCGGGGUUCCGCUACGACGAGAGGCGCGUCGGAUUUAUUAAGGGAUUCCGUAGGGUCUUCUACCAAGGUAGCACAGACCACAGAGGGACUCCCGAUUUCCCCGGAAGAACCGUCACUUUGGAACCCCUUCGCGGAGCAAUCUGUUGGGGAGUUGCAUACAAAGUUUCUGGUGAAGA